CAAAACUCUCGAGCGUAUGAUUGUCAAUCGAUCAGAAUUUUCUGGCGAGUGAGAUAUCUACUCGAGCGUCCUCUGUAAAAACACGAGAAAAUAACCUAUCAAAUCAGACGAACAAACAAAACUUUCAUGAACAUUUUCUUUGUUAUGCUUCUCUGUGUAUAUGUCUUGAAAAUCAGCUCUUCUAACCUAAAGCUUUUCAAGUUAUUAAAGUUUUUGUGAGGUUCUCUAUUUCGCAUCUAGUCGGAAAAUGAGAUGGUUGGAGCGUAUAACGGGGAUCGAGCGAAUGAGUAUCGAUUUGAUAUCUAAAUGAGAUUUUUGGCCGAUAGUAUUUCGGCAGAGGAUCGAGUAACUAUUGAUCUGUCUUUCCGGAAAUUUCUCAGCCAAAGGACAAAAUGGCGACUGUUAAUCUCUGCUUUGAAGGGAGAAAUUUUCGCGCGCGUCCAGCGUUUCUCGAAGAUGUGAUGUCAGGACGAAUCCGCAAGGAUUGAAUGAGUACCAUUUUCUUUUUUGAUUUUCAUUGAUUUAAAAAUCCUGAAAGAACAAAAUGUUUAAUAUAGAUUCAAGUAAACGUUCUAUAAAAUCCAUCGACUUUAGUUUGGUUUUUGUAAAGUUAUUAGCUUUCAAAGUCAGAGCAAGCGUAAUUCUCAGUCCACUUUGCCGUGGUUCCCAAUUGUUCAACCGUAGGCCCACUCUAGUUCAUAUAUUCAUAAAUUCUUAUUUUGUUAUUUGAGAGUGUUUUUUGUACUUCACCCGCUAAAACCUGAACAGAGGGAAAUUUGUUUACUUAAGCUAUGUUCUUGUUAACUCUUCCAUUCUAAAUCAGCACAACUAAUUCAAAACAAACGAUAUUCCUGGAUUGAGUUUGCUCUUAGGGCUGGACCCUUCACAGAAUGUAGUUGUAGAAUAUCAUCUGAAGGCUGGAUGACACUUGCUUGUAGGUUUUUCCUCAGGUUUUAAUUUAACUUUUGGAAUGUGACAGGUCCAACAUCUAUUUUAUUUGUAUUAGUGCCUUCACAUAUGGAAAAAGGGUGCUUUGCUCCUAUUUCUUGAGUGACCUACUGUAUGGAGAACUUGGCAGUUGUUAAUGAAAUACACCAGUACAAGCCAAGUAGCUUGGAAGGAUUUCAUGAAAAAGGUGGACUCAUGUAUCAAGGAUACAUGCUGCAAAAGAGUAAGUGGAUUUAAAAGACAAUUAUAAUACUACUAUUUUUGCUUAGGAAUAUAUUUUUUAGAGAAAAGAUAAAGGCAAGAUAAAAAUUACUUACUUGCCCAGUCAUAAUGAGAUGCUUGAGAUAGGAAUUUAGCAUUUUAUAAAUUGUUCAAAGGGGAGUGAUGCUCGAAUUGUAUAGUACAAGGUUGUUAUUAAAAUAUGUUAAGGGUUUGAAAUAUACAGUACCGAUGUUUGGAAAACAGUUACAUGUAGAUCAAUUUGCAAAAAAACAUCAUGUAAGACAUAUUAUUUAAUAAAUAAAAGGCAUUCUAUUACAAAUAUCACCAUGGACCUUUUGGUAAAAAUUGAAGCUAGAAUCCACAGAGCAUAAAUGCUUUAAAAAACGAUAGAAUAA